rnacentral:tRNA from 4 species
GCGAGGGUAGUUCAGCGGUAGAACGUCUCCUUGCCAAGGAGAAGGUCGCGGGUUCAAGUCCCGUCCCUCGCUCCA